rnacentral:rRNA from 1 species
CACGUAGGCGGACUGGUCAGUUGGGGGUGAAAUCCCAGGGCUCAACCCUGGAACUGCCUUCAAUACUGCCAGUCUUGAGUCCGGGAGAGGUGAGUGGAAUUCCUAGUGUAGAGGUGAAAUUCGUAGAUAUUAGGAAGAACACCAGUGGCGAAGGCGGCUCACUGGCUCGGUACUGACGCUGAGGUGCGAAAGCGUGGGGAGCAAACA